AGUGGCCUUUUAACCACACAAACACUGAGGAGGAUGUUGUCAAGGGAAGCUGGCGGUUUGCGAGUUAAUAGUCAUGAGUUGGGGUAAUUACUUAAGGUUUAUUAUGCUCUGCUUUCAAAGGAAAUGGACUCUUCAAUGGGCCGAGGAAUACUUCUUAAUUCUGGCUAAUUAGGAGCCGGCAAAGCAGAGACAACUGCUGCUGCCGCUGCUGCUGCUGCUGCUGCUGCCAUCCAACUCCGUUACAUUCAUGCGGAGGGGAUCAGUUCCCGGCUCAGCCAUGACUGAAUGGACUUGUGGCCAUCAGCUCCUCUUUUCAUGAAGCUUGAUAAACGACGGGUCCUUGAAAGAGCACACACCUGUUACUGGGAGUCAAUCAAGAUGUUACACCGCUUCUACCUGCCAGCUGACUGAUAAAAGUAUAUCUGAAAGAGUCUUCCACAAAGAAACUCUGUCACCUUAAAGGGUCCUCUGAGGAUGAAAACCCCUUUAUACAUUUCUGUAAGGUCUGUUUCUAAGCAUGUGAUCUGGCUGUUAACCAAGGCGUUAGCUCGCUACCUGACCCUCUCUGUGAGCUGGCGUUGAUGCUAAAGCAGACAUUAGCCUCCUCCCUCUGGCUUGGAUUCAGCUGGCACGCCUGGACCUCAUUGAUGGUGCUGCCAGGCGGACUCCAUCACAGUUGGUGGUUUUGAUCAAUAUCAACGUUAACAACCACCAGACAGCUUGUUGGAGAACAAACAAAACUAUAAAUAAUGCAUCAACACGUUUCUGACGUCCGGGACGAGAUGGUUAUUGGUGGAGAGGUCAAAGAGAGACACAUUUAUUUCACCUCAGAGAUAAGAGUGUGUCACUUCAACGUGUAAGUAACAUGUACUACUCUUUUGUGUAAAAUAGUAUCACUUUACUUAAUGCAACUUCAUGUAAUUGUCUCUCCAAGGAAACUUCACCUGUUAGUAGCUGUUAAAAACACAAAGAACCAGCUUAAAUAUUAGGCAGGUUGUUAGCCAAGCUAAGCCUAGACCCUGGAAACUGGAGGAAACAUACAGCUACACUCUGUCUUCAUUAUGGAGUGCUAUCUAAAACCUCUUAAGCUGCUUUAUUAACAUGUUUUGGCAAUAACUGUUAGCUGCUAAAUGUUGGCAAGUGUUUUCUCAUGGUGAA